CCUACGGGGGGCAGCAGUGGGGAAUAUUGGACAAUGGGCGAAAGCCUGAUCCAGCCAUGCCGCGUGUGCGAAGAAGGCCUUCGGGUUGUAAAGCACUUUCAGUGGGGAAGAAAGCCUUGGGGCUAAUACCCUCGAGGAAGGACAUCACCCACAGAAGAAGCACCGGCUAACUCCGUGCCAGCAGCCGCGGUAAUACGGAGGGUGCGAGCGUUAAUCGGAAUUACUGGGCGUAAAGCGCGCGUAGGCGGUCUGAUAAGCCGGUUGUGAAAGCCCCGGGCUCAACCUGGGAACGGCAUCCGGAACUGUCAGGCUAGAGUGCAGGAGAGGAAGGUAGAAUUCCCGGUGUAGCGGUGAAAUGCGUAGAGAUCGGGAGGAAUACCAGUGGCGAAGGCGGCCUUCUGGACUGACACUGACGCUGAGGUGCGAAAGCGUGGGUAGCAAACAGGAUUAGAUACCCCAGUAGUC
rnacentral:rRNA from 1 species